UCUUUCCAGGUCUCUGUAUUUCGCAGGGUUUCCGAGAAGGAAAGGUCUACCAUCUGAUUACUGGAAUCAUUUCCUUCAGCACGAAGCUCUGCAUUUUAAAGAACUCAUUGUGUUCCUGCCCCAUCUGAGAGAUAGUUGCAACCAUUCUUCCUCGUCACUUAUAUUUUGAUUUAGGGCUUCUCUAUGUGUUUCAGGUUCCUUGGGAACAGUGGACAGCACUAUAACCAUAAGAACCCAGGAUGCAGAAGGGCAGAAAUAUGUACUGAAAAUAAAACGAAGGUAAUUUAUGGCUUGCUUUAGAACUUGAGUUUUCCUUGGAGGUGCCAGGCUGAACUCCUAGGAUAUAUCGACGACUGCUGUUUUCUACCUUGAGAAUAAUCCCAUCACAAGCAUCUGAGGUCUUCACCAUACAUUCUCUGGAGAAUAGUGGAAGCUCUGGAAGACAUCCUGACCACAGUGCUGAAAUCCGAGCAGCCUCUCCCAUCUAAGUUGUGGUUCCCAGCCUAGGCCGUGAGAACUUUUCUACAUAUCAGAUCUGCUUUUCACAUUAUCGGAGAUUGUCUCUGUUAUUAAGUGUACAAACCCUCGACAUCAAAU